UACGGGGGGGGCAAGCGUUGUUCGGAAUUACUGGGCGUAAAGGGCUCGUAGGCGGCUCGUUAAGUCAGACGUGAAAGCCCUCGGCUUAACCGGGGAACGGCGUCUGAGACUGGCAAGCUUGAAUCCGGGAGAAGGAUGCGGAAUUCCAGGUGUAGCGGUGAAAUGCGUAGAUAUCUGGAGGAACACCGGUGGCGAAGGCGGCUUCCUGGACCGACACUGACGCUGAGGCGCGAAAGCUAGGGGAGCAAACGGG
rnacentral:rRNA from 1 species